AGCGAACGCUGGCGGCAGGCCUAACACAUGCAAGUCGAACGAACCCUUCAGGGUUAGUGGCGGACGGGUGAGUAACACGUGGGAACGUGCCUUUAGGUUCGGAAUAACUCAGGGAAACUUGUGCUAAUACCGAAUGUGCCCUUCGGGGGAAAGAUUUAUCGCCUUUAGAGCGGCCCGCGUCUGAUUAGCUAGUUGGUGAGGUAAUGGCUCACCAAGGCUACGAUCAGUAGCUGGUCUGAGAGGAUGACCAGCCACAUUGGGACUGAGACACGGCCCAAACUCCUACGGGAGGCAGCAGUGGGGAAUCUUGCGCGAUGGGCGAAAGCCUGACGCAGCCAUGCCGCGUGGAUGAUGAAGGUCUUAGGAUUGUAAAAUCCUUUCACCGGUGAAGAUAAUGACUGUAGCCGGAGAAGAAGCCCCGGCUAACUUCGUGCCAGCCGCCGCGGUAAUAC
rnacentral:rRNA from 1 species